CGUACACUCCUGCGGGAGGCAGCAGUGGGGAAUAUUGGACAAUGGGCGCAAGCCUGAUCCAGCCAUGCCGCGUGAGUGAUGAAGGCCCUAGGGUUGUAAAGCUCUUUCACCGGUGAAGAUAAUGACGGUAACCGGAGAAGAAGCCCCGGCUAACUUCGUGCCAGCAGCCGCGGUAAUACGAAGGGGGCUAGCGUUGUUCGGAUUUACUGGGCGUAAAGCGCACGUAGGCGGACUAUUAAGUCAGGGGUGAAAUCCCGGGGCUCAACCCCGGAACUGCCUUUGAUACUGGUAGUCUUGAGUUCGAGAGAGGUGAGUGGAAUUCCGAGUGUAGAGGUGAAAUUCGUAGAUAUUCGGAGGAUCACCAGUGGCGAAGGCGGCUCACUGGCUCGAUACUGACGCUGAGGUGCGAAAGCGUGGGGAGCAAACAGGAUUAGAUACCCCGGUAGUCCCUGA
rnacentral:rRNA from 1 species